rnacentral:tRNA from 1 species
AGCAGCGUGGCUCAAUGGAAAGAGCCCGGGUUUUGGAGUCAGAGGUCAUGGGUUCUAAUCCCAGCUCUGCCA